GAAAGAUGUUUUAAGAAAUAAUUUGUUUCCUUACUGUUUUAAUUUUUUCGAAAAGAAACAUCAUUUUCGAGAAACUUCAAGAAGAAAGUUAUUAGUAUGUACAGCGUAAUUUUAUUACAGCUAAAACUGAUGCAAGGCAUUGGCACAGUGAAUGGCAGCUGAAAAAUUUUGACCCUUGUUUCUGGAAGUGAAAUGUUAGAUGGUUUGAUGAAGUGCCACAGAGAUUAUCGCUUAAAGAAUGCGUGCAGGCCAACCACCAACACAAGAUAUUAAAAGAGCAAUGAAAAUGAAGAUUUAACUAUAA